rnacentral:rRNA from 1 species
UACGAAGGGGACUAGCGUUGUUCGGAAUCACUGGGCGUAAAGCGCACGUAGGCGGAUUUGUAAGUCAGGGGUGAAAUCCCGGGGCUUAACCUCGAGAUGUCAUCGGAAACCAUUUGUCUAGAGUCCGGAAGAGGAGAGUGGAAUUCCUGGUGUAGCGGUGAAAUGCGCAGAUAUCAGGAGGAACACCGGUGGCGAAGGCGGGUCUCUGGGCCGAUACUGACGCUGAGGAGCGAAAGCGUGGGGAGCGAACAGG